CACACACACACACACACACACACACACACACACACACACACACACACACACACACACACACACCCACACACACACCAGAUCCCAGACUGUGCUCCGUAAAAAUCCUUACAAAUAGUAUAUAAUCUAUAUAUAAAUGUUUCCAACAUGCAAUGCUGCAUUAAAAAAUCCUCAUAAACAGGUUUUUUUGUUUUCAGUCCCUCGAGUCUUACAGUCUUUGUGUUCAUAAAACAGAAAGCAAAUCAAAGAGGGAGUGACACCAAGGAAGAAGUGAAAACUGACAGAAGGGUCCAAAAACUGUAAAUGAUGUUGUAUAUAUCAUACACACACACACACACACACACAAACGCACACACACACAAACGCACACACACACAGUGGCUUUUCAAAUCUCAUUCUCCCAACGUGAUCUGCCACUGAGAAUAUGCGAAUCCUUUUGUCCAGGGUUUAAUUGUGAAUUGAUUGAUUGAUAUAUUGAUGAUGACGAAGGGAGUUUGUUUUGGUAGUAAAUCUACCUGGCCACAAAGAAAAAGUGAUUGAAUAAAAUGUGCUGCUUACAAAUAAUCACAAUUUGUGAAACAGAUUCAAUGUGAAGUCACAUUCCACAGUGGUACAACAGAAACCAAAAACAUUUAAAACCCCCUGAUGACUCAAAUAAACACAGAUCUAUCAAUCGUACCAUGAAUAAUAAUUAUAAAAAAAGUAUUUGCUGUGGUGAUACUAAUAUCUGAAUUAAAUAAAUAUUUCACUUUUCAACUAAAAUAAACCAAAUACUUCACUUGCAACGACGACAUCAAACAAUACGACUGAAGUGGCAAGUUCAAAAGUAUGACUGGGAUGACAGCAACAGUCAGUGUGUAACCCCCCUCCCUCCACGACAACGGUAAUAAUUAAGACAAGGACGCCGUCACUUAUGAGGUUCUUCCUCUUAGCCCUCCCAUCCUCCUCCUCAUCUGGUUCUGAGGUAAACAGCAAUACUGUUAAAGACUUUAAAAAGGCCUCUCACCCCAACACCUCAUAUGCCACAUUCUAUAUUGGCCUUAAAACCCUGAAUAAAAUGUCAAAUAACAAGAUCUUCUAUUAAGGACACAAGUCACUCCAUUCUCACGAGCAUGCAGGUGGAGAUAUACCCUAGGAAAGCGUUUGUUUGUUUGUUUGAACAGCGUGUUGGCUCUUCACAGCUUAAAGGUUACAGACUACUCUAACAUUGGAAGCAGAGAGGAGGGGGAUGAGAGAAUGAAAAUGACAUUUCAUGCAAAUUAGUCUCCCAGCAAGUUGUAAAAUCAUGUUUUUCUUCAUUCAGAUUUUUUCAAAUAAAUAAUGUGUUUGAAAAGACAUUUGCCACUUUUCUUUUUGGCAGAGCUAGCUGGGCUAAAUAGGUUUCAACCCUGAUCCUCAACACCAGCUGUCAAUCAACGCUCUUUAUCCAAUCAAGUAAGUUACAAUCACGCUCUUUGAAUGCAGUAUUAAAAAAUAAAUGAGACAUAAUAUUUUUUUAUACAAUGGUACAACAAACUGCCAUUUGGCGUUGUAUACGAUAAACCUUAAAAAAAUAAAACAUAUUGCACUUUUUAAAUAUUAAUAUGCAACUAUUGACUUAGGCCUACACCCAUAUUCUAGAAAUUAAAUAAAUCAGUUAUUCCCGUUUUUACCAAACGGGAAAAACUAACAAAUUUAUUAAUCUUUGUCGAUUAUUGACCUUUUUUACCUUUUCAUCCGCACGUCAAUUCCUGCAGAUAACCAACGUUCAGCGAACAACAAUGAAAGAAUAAGCCUCUACAUAAAAUACACAGACAUGUUUUUUUAUAAACAAACCAAAACAGACGAGACAAACUGACAGCGCACCGAAAACCAAACUGCUGUGUGAGGGGGCGGGGCCGGACUGUACCAUCCUGGGUUACAGGAGGGGGGGGGGGAGAGGUGGAAGAAAGCGGCAGUGAAUUUAAAGAAGCACAAACAACAUAGUAGGGUCACACAAACACAUACACACAGUCACACGCGCAAGCACGCACACACACACACACACACACACACACACACACACACACACACACACACACACACACACACCGACAGAGUAAGACAGGCCAGCGAUCGCGCUAGCACCUCUCUGCCGCUAGCCGCGCUCGGCCGUGUCCAGUUUCCUGUGGCGAGACUCGGAGCGCCGGAGCGCUGUGACAGCAACGCCACCCCCCGACCUCACCCCAAUCAAAACGUCAGAUGGCAAAAUAGAAAGGCAGCUGUUCACUCCUGUCAUGCGAAAGUGCAUCUCCGCGCGCACACACUUCUCCAGCGAAAAAGUUUGGGCCCCGCCCAGCGCUCUCUGUGCCAGGGCAGUGGGAGAGUGGGGGCCCCGGGCGGGCCAGGGGCCGGGGGGGGGGCGUGAUGCCCAGACCGGUGCUUUGGUCAGCACACUCUGAGGGCUUCAAUUACCUUUGCUUUUUUUUCUUCCUGACAGCAUUUGUAGGAUUGCGUCUACUGUACAUAUCCCUGGCUCUCUAUAUAUCUGCUCUGUUUCUCCCUUCAGCUUGUCUUCAUCCCGGCCCGAGGAGGGCUAAAUCACUGGGGGGGGGGGAUAGGAGGUUGGGGGGGCAUGACAGGGGGGUGUAGAGAUGGCUUUCUCCUGGUAUUUCGUUCUCCAGCGUUCCUCACUGAGUCCUAGGUGCCUUUGGCGGCCAGAGUCCGACUUGCUGGCGUCGGUUUCCGAGUUUUCAAAGGCGUGCGACGCAUCUUGCCCGGUUGUCAUGGUUUCGCUGAAACACAAAUCGUUUUUUGGGGGGGGAGAUUUUAAAUACAUCAGAAUCUUCGUGAAUACAUCAAAACAACAUAAAAAAACCUUGUAACAAUGCGAUCAUAAAGCCCACGGACAUACCUGAGGUACGCAUCAUCAUGUCAGGAAAUGGACAAAUACUAUCGCCAGCCCGAUGUUCAACAGCAUCACCAUGGCAACAAGGAUGGAGUUGGGAC
ensembl:lncRNA